rnacentral:rRNA from 1 species
GAUCCUGGCUCAGGAUGAACGCUAGCGGCAGGCUUAACACAUGCAAGUCGAGGGGUAUAGUUCUUCGGAACUAGAGACCGGCGCACGGGUGCGUAACGCGUAUGCAAUCUACCUUUCACAGAGGGAUAGCCCAGAGAAAUUUGGAUUAAUACCUCAUAGUAUUAUAGAGUGGCAUCACUUUAUAAUUAAAGUCACAACGGUGAAAGAUGAGCAUGCGUCCCAUUAGCUAGUUGGUAAGGUAACGGCUUACCAAGGCAACGAUGGGUAGGGGUCCUGAGAGGGAGAUCCCCCACACUGGUACUGAGACACGGACCAGACUCCUACGGGAGGCAGCAGUGAGGAAUAUUGGACAAUGGGCGCAAGCCUGAUCCAGCCAUGCCGCGUGCAGGAUGACGGUCCUAUGGAUUGUAAACUGCUUUUGUACAGGAAGAAACACUGGUUCGUGAACCAGCUUGACGGUACUGUAAGAAUAAGGAU